rnacentral:rRNA from 1 species
CCCUUAGAUGUCCUGGGCCGCACGCGCGCUACACUGACAUGUUCAACAAGUUUCUCCUGGUUCGACAGGACUGGGAAAUCUUUGAACGCAUGUCGUGAUAGGGAUAGAUCAUUGCAAUUAUUGAUCUUGAACGAGGAAUUCCUAGUAAACGCGAGUCAUCAGCUCGCAUUGAUUACGUCCCUGCCCUUUGUACACACCGCCCGUCGCUCCUACCGAUUGAGUGGUCCGGUGAGGCUUUGGGAUCUGAGCGGAAAGAGCGUUUCGCUGUUUCUGCCCGGAAAACUCAGUCGAACCUUAUCAUUUAGAGGAAGGAGAAGUCGUAACA